rnacentral:rRNA from 1 species
ACUCCUACGGGAGGCAGCAGUGAGGAAUAUUGGACAAUGGGCGGGAGCCUGAUCCAGCCAUGCCGCGUGCAGGAAGACUGCCCUAUGGGUUGUAAACUGCUUUUAUACGGGAAGAAACACUCCCUCGUGAGGGAAUUUGACGGUACCGUAAGAAUAAGGAUCGGCUAACUCCGUGCCAGCAGCCGCGGUAAUACGGAGGAUCCAAGC